rnacentral:lncRNA from 1 species
CUAAGUGGGACGUACCAGGGAGAUAUUUUCCUCCUGAAGUUACUUACCGAAAUGGUGACGUGAGCCUGGAAUGGCCAGGAGCCACUACAUAGUACCUAAAAUAAACCCACACUGCGGGAGGCAGAGCUAAGACAGAGAAAAAUGGAAUUCUGAAGAUAUUAUUAGAGCUGCUAUCAAUCUGGCCCUAGCCCCGAACUUUUCAAUUACUUGGGCCAAUAGAUUUUCUCCUCCCACCCCAUCUUCUUGGCUGAAGCCAGUUUGAAUUAGUUUUUGUCUUUUGCCACCAACACUGAAAGAGUUUUGAUAUAGAGACGGAUGAAAAGACAGCAUUCCUGAUCCUGAGGCGGCAGACGUAAACUCAAGUGUGUCUCUCUCUAGGGCUCUGUCUGGAUUUCUGAAAACAUGAAGGGGCUGAUUACAAAUCUCCUUACCAGAUAAUAGAGCUAUUCCUCACUCUCCCAGCCUUGGCUACCCAGAGAAAUUGUUGGGAAGAUUGAAAGAGCAGAUUCGAGGAGGCUAUGCUUCAAGAGCAGCUUUCCAGAACCACACCACAGGACUGGCUGCUUCUGGGCCCCACAGCCACGAUGCCUCUGCACCAAUCAGGAAGCUGCUGGUUUUAGAAUAACCAAAUGUCUCCACCCGUGUUUGCCAGUAAAAUCAUCUCCCUAUGCCUGGUUUCCUCCUCAUCAGGCUUCAUUUUUCCUUCCAUGUUUUGUGAGGAGUCUGUCAUUACUUUUUGCCAUUAAAAGUAAUGGCAAAAUCCGCAAUUACUUUUGCACCAGCCUACUACCUUCCCAAGAGGGGACCUAGCUGUCUGGGAGUCUGGGAAAUGUAGUUUUUAGCUUUCAAGAUUUUAUUACAUAGGAAGAAGGUUAGGAUGAAUGUUGAGUAAACCAAUCUGCAAUAUUUAGCCCAGUAUUUAUUUUAUUUUAUUUUAUUUUUCUGAGACAGGGUCUCAUUCCCAUCAUCCAAGAUAAAGGGCAGUGGUGCAAUCACAGUUCACUGCAGCCUUGACUUCCCAGGCUCAGGUGAUCCUCCUAUCUCAGCCUCC